GCUUAACUCUGAGUGUGCUGAAGCUUGAAAUGUAGCUUCCGAUUUAUAAUAGCAACAGGGCAUGCAGCAAAUGUCAACAAAUCCCCCGUCACCCAGGCAAGGAGGAAAUGUGAGAGGAGAAACUACAACUCUGUCUGAAAAAAAAUGAAGAGAAAGCUGUUGUUUAGAAGACCAUCCAACAGCGUAACAGACUUCUGAAUUUGAUAGGGUGCUUAGAUAGUGAUGAGAAGAGCAGGAACUUGAAAAGAAGAAAACAAGAAAGGAAGGCAAGAAUGAAGAGAGAUGGAAGCAGAAGAACAGUCUAGUCAAUAUAAAUUUAAACAGAGAAGAAAAUGAGACUAAAGAGGAUCAGAGAAAGGUGAAGGAGUUACUUUCAGAGGAAUUUCCUAGCACUGAGAGAGUAGAUAGCAGGACACGAUGGAGCUCUAAGAGACUAUUUUAGACCAGAAAGGUCAUGUUUUAGUUGCCAGGAAUUUGUUCUCAGUUACUCUGAUCUGUAUAAUGUACUGUCCCAUUUCUUGGAGACACACCAAAGGAUUCCAGAUUAUCAGCAGCUACCUGAUCUGCAAUGCUGGAGAGAUGAGAAAUUCAUUAACAAUUUUGCAAGGUG